rnacentral:rRNA from 1 species
GACGAACGCUGGCGGCGUGCUUAACACAUGCAAGUCGAACGGAAAGGCCUGCUUUUUCUUGUGGAUUGCGGGUACUCGAGUGGCGAACGGGUGAGUAACACGUGAGUGAUCUGCUCCCAACUUGGGUAUAAGCCUGGGAAACUGGGUCUAAUUCCCGAUAGGACUGCAGGGUGGUGCGUGUGGUGGAAAACGUUUUUCUAGUGGUUGGGGAUGAGCUCGCGGCCUAUCAGCUUGUUGGUGGGGUAAUGGCCUACGAAGGCGGCGACUGGUAGCCGGCCUGGGGGGGUCGGCGGCAACAUUGGGACUGAGCAACGGCCCAGACUCCUACGGGAGGCAGCAGUGGGGAAUGUAGCACAAUGGGAGGAAGCAUGAUGCAGCGACGCCGGGUGGGGGAUGGCGGCCUUCGGGUUGUAAGCUCCUGUCGGCCGAGAGGAAGCCACCUGGUUGGAAGGGUGGUGACGGUAGUGGUAGAAGAAGCCCCGGCUAACUACGUG